GAGAAUGUGACUUAGGGUUAGAGUGCUUGCCUAGCAUGCAUGAAGCUCUGGGUUCAAUUCCUCAGUAUCA
rnacentral:tRNA from 1 species